rnacentral:lncRNA from 1 species
UCAGCACAAAAAGAGCCCCAUUCAUCAUUUGUAGCCAAUUCAGCCUCUCUAAAGCCCUCCCAAAGGGUCCUCGCCUUUGCCCUCCCACCACUAGCACCAUGAUGAUGAGGAUGAGGAUGACAAGGACAAUGACAAUGAAGGCAUGUGCCGGGCACUCUGCUGGCCCUAAUAACAGUUCUCCUGCUGUGGCAUCAGUGUUUCUAUUUUACAGGCAGUGAAACUGCAGCCCAGAGAAAUUAAGCAAGUUGCUUAAUGUCACAUGGCUGGGGGCACCAUUGACCAUAGUGCCAACGCUGGAGGUCCCUCCACAGGACUGCACUGCUUCUGUGGCCAGUGCUACAGCUCUUGGGCCUCAACAAUGCCUGGCACACAUCAGGGGCUCCACAAAUAGUUGUAGGCUGACUUCUUGUGUAAAGAGCAUGAGCAUUGUUGGGUGAAUAAUCAAGCACUAGGCAGUCCAAGGCAAUUUUCACGCUAUUACAGUGUUUGGGGUUGUUUUGUUUUGUUUUUUAAGUUAAGAAUCUAUAUUUUCUUCUAGGCAUCCCCGAUAAUCUAGAGCUUCUGCUCCUGGAGAGUUAAGGCUUUGGCAAGAAUCUCUCCCACAAGGCAAACGAAAUGUCCCCCAUCCAUCUGUGAGUGCACAGGGCAUCAUGGCAGUUACUUUCUGUGAAUGGCCUCCUCGUGAACGUCAGUCCCGCCAGGGGGUGGGGAGGGGGACUUGAUUUAUUAUAUGGCUUUUGGACAGUUCCUCCAGAAAUACUGCCAAACAGAGGAAUAAUCAACUCUUUCACUCAAGCCCCUCAUACUUUUUUUUUUUUUAAUGAAAGAAUAAAGUACGCAAUGAGCCUGAACUAAAUAAAUAAAAAUGCCACACUUUUGCCCACCAGAACUUUCUGCGUCACUGAGGAAUAUUUACAGACCUCAACAAUCUUUUAUCUUCAUGAUGACGUCCAACCUUCUCAGUUUUGGGCAUUCUGAGAACGUCUUUGAUUUGGGUUCUCUAAUUGUCUUAUGGGAACAAUU